rnacentral:rRNA from 1 species
UACGAAGGGGGCUAGCGUUGCUCGGAAUCACUGGGCGUAAAGCGCACGUAGGCGGCUUUCUAAGUCAGGGGUGAAAUCCUGGAGCUCAACUCCAGAACUGCCUUUGAUACUGAGGAUCUCGAGUUCGGGAGAGGUGAGUGGAACUGCGAGUGUAGAGGUGAAAUUCGUAGAUAUUCGCAAGAACACCAGUGGCGAAGGCGGCUCACUGGCCCGAUAACUGACGCUGAGGCACGAAAGCGUGGGGAGCGAAACAGG